rnacentral:rRNA from 1 species
GAAUGAACGCUGGCGGCGUGCUUAACACAUGCAAGUCGAACGUGAAAGUCCUUCGGGAUGAGUAAAGUGGCGAACGGGUGCAUAACGCGUGAGAAUCUACCCUUGGGUGAAGGAUACCCUGGAGAAAUCCAGGCUAAUACUGCAUAAGCCGGGAGACCGGGAAAGGUGGCCUCUUGCUACCGCGCAAGGAUGAGCUCGCGUACUAUUAGCUAGUUGGUGGGGUAAAGGCCUACCAAGGCGAAGAUGGUUAGCCGGCCUGAGAGGGUGUACGGCCACAAUGGGACUGAGAUACGGCCCAUACUCCUACGGGAGGCAGCAGUGGGGAAUAUUGCACAAUGGGCGCAAGCCUGAUGCAGCGACGCCGCGUGGAGGAUGAAGGUUUUCGGAUUGUAAACUCCUGUUAAGUGGGAAGAAAGAGUGUGGGUUAAUACCCCGCAAAGAUGACGGUACCACUAGAGAAAGCACCGGCUAACUUCGUGCCAGCAGCCGCGGUAAUACGAGGGGUGCAAGCGUUAUUCGGAAUAACUGGGCGUAAAGAGUGCGUAGGCGGCUUAUUAAGUCUGUUGUUAAAUUGCUCGGCUCAACUGGGUAUCGGCAAUAGAAACUGGUAAGCUCGAGGACAAGAGAGAGAAGUGGAAUUCUCGGAGUAGCGGUAAAAUGCGUAGAUCUCGAGAGGAACACCGAUGGCGAAGGCAGCUUCUUGGCUUGUAUCUGACGCUGAAGUACGAAAGCGUGGGGAGCAAACAGGAUUAGAUACCCUGGUAGUCCACGCUGUAAACGAUGAUCACUAGAUAUGGGAUCUGCAUAGCAGAAUCUGUGUCGAAGCUAACGCGUUAAGUGAUCCGCCUGGGGAGUACGGUCGCAAGAUUAAAACUCAAAGAAAUUGACGGGGGUCCGCACAAGCGGUGGAACAUGUGGUUUAAUUCGACACUACGCGAGGAACCUUACCUAGGCUUGACAUGUAGCUGCUACCGAUGGAAACAUUGGGUUUUAUGGGAAACCAUAGACGGUUACACAGGUGCUGCAUGGCUGUCGUCAGCUCGUGUCGUGAGAUGUUGGGUUAAGUCCUUUAACGAGCGCAACCCUUGCCGUUAGUUGCCAACCUGAAAGGGAGCACUCUAGCGGGACUGCCUGCGAAAGCAGGAGGAAGGUGGGGAUGACGUCAAGUCCUCAUGGCCCUUAUGCCUAGGGCUACACACGUGUUACAAUGGCGAGUACAAACGGAAGCAAGACCGCGAGGUGGAGCAAAUCUGAAAAAACUCGUCUAAGUUCGGAUCGAAGUCUGCAACCCGACUUCGUGAAGUUGAAAUCGCUAGUAAUCGCGCAUCAGAACGGCGCGGUGAAUACGUUCUCGGACCU